rnacentral:rRNA from 1 species
UACGUAGGGUGCAAGCGUUGUCCGGAAUUAUUGGGCGUAAAGAGCUCGUAGGCGGUUUGUCGCGUCGACUGUGAAAACCCGAGGCUUAACCUCGGGCCUGCAGUCGAUACGGGCAGACUAGAGUUCGGUAGGGGAGACUGGAAUUCCUGGUGUAGCGGUGAAAUGCGCAGGUAUCAGGAGGAACACCGGUGGCGAAGGCGGGUCUCUGGGCCGAUACUGACGCUGAGGAGCGAAAGCGUGGGGAGCGAACAGG